rnacentral:rRNA from 1 species
UACAGAGGGGGCAAGCGUUGUUCGGAAUUACUGGGCGUAAAGGGCGCGUAGGCGGCCUGUUAAGUCGAACGUGAAAUCCCCGGGCUCAACCCGGGAACUGCGUCCGAUACUGGCAGGCUUGAAUCCGGGAGAGGGAUGCGGAAUUCCAGGUGUAGCGGUGAAAUGCGUAGAUAUCUGGAGGAACACCGGAGGCGAAGGCGGCUUGCUGGGCGUAGUCGUGACGCUGAGGCGCGAAAGCGUGGGGAGCGAACAGG